rnacentral:rRNA from 1 species
CCUACGGGUGGCAGCAGUGGGGAAUAUUGCACAAUGGGGGAAACCCUGAUGCAGCGACGCCGCGUGAGUGAAGAAGUAAUUCGGUACGUAAAGCUCUAUCAGCAGGAAAGAAAAUGACGGUACCUGACUAAGAAGCCCCGGCUAACUACGUGCCAGCAGCCGCGGUAAUACGUAGGGGGCAAGCGUUAUCCGGAUUUACUGGGUGUAAAGGGAGCGUAGACGGCAGCGCAAGUCUGGAGUGAAAUGCCGGGGCCCAACCCCGGAACUGCUCUGGAAACUGUGAAGCUGGAGUGCAGGAGAGGUAAGCGGAAUUCCUGGUGUAGCGGUGAAAUGCGUAGAUAUCAGGAGGAACACCGGCGGCGAAGGCGACCUGCUGGAACAUUACUGACGCUGAUGCACGAAAGCGUGGGGAGCAAACAGGAUUAGAUACCCUAGUAGUC